UAUAUAAUGUGGUUAUAGCAGGUAUAUAAUAUGGUUAUAACAGGUGUAUAAUAUGGUUAUAACAGGUGUAUAUGGUUAUAACAGGUGUAUAAUAUGGUUAUAACAGGUGUAUAAUAUGGUUAUAACAGGUGUAUAAUAUGGUUAUAACAGGUGUAUAUGGUUAUAGCAGGUAUAUAAUAUGGUUAUAACAGGUAUAUAAUGUGGUUAUAGCAGGUAUAUAAUGUGGUUAUAGCAGGUAUAUGUGGUUAUGACAGGUAUAUAAUGUGGUUAUAACAGGUAUAUAAUGUGG